rnacentral:rRNA from 1 species
AUGGAAGAGGCCGCGGUGGCGGGCAAGCUGAGUAGGUUGGAGCUCCAGCGCGGCGCCGCCGACGCGCCGUCCUUCCGGAUGGAGGACCUGCCCGUGGAGGUUCAACCUGUUAUAAUGUCACUGCUGCCACUGGAAGAGGCCGUGAGGACAAGCAUUGUUUCAAGAAGUUGGAAAAUGCUCUGGAGAUUCCACCGCGACCUAUGUUUUGAUGAUCCCAGUGAUCCCGAUUCUGACACCGAUGACGAGUUCGCUGCUCAGGAUAGUACCAAAAUAAAGCAAGCAAAGUUCAUUGAGACUGUAGAUUCGGUUAUUCAACAACAUAGUGGGAUAGGAGUCAACAAGUUCAGCAUCAGGUGUGGCCUGCACAAAGAAGACUCUGAUCAUCUUGACAGGUGGAUUUCCUUUGCCACUUCAUCAAAGGCGAAGAUAAUACAUUUUGAUCUGCUAAUAAUUGAUGGUCCAUUAUAUGGAGUUCACCACUUCCCUCUUGAGGCCUUAGAUGCUCAAGAUAGCUCAUUUGUGCAGUCAUUGUUUCUCGCUGCUGUUUCUAUAAAGCCACACUCAGGAAUAUGUGGCUUUACAAUACUCAGAAAUCUUGUUCUGAAAUCUGUUCAGAUAUUUGGGGAUUUUCCUGGCUUGCUUGCAAAGUGUUCAGCACUUGAGGACUUGCAGACCAUCGGCUGCUCUCGUGUUACUAGUUUAAGCGUACCACACAAACUCGAUAAACUUCAACAUUUGCUAAUUGAUAGUACAAGGGAUAUCAAGACGGUUGAGUUUCAUGCUGUUGAUCUUGCUCAUUUUGAGUACAGAGGGGAAGUGAUCUCUAUAGUGCUUCAUGGUUGCUCAAAAUUAGAGAAGGCAACAAUAAUGUUUAUGGCCCCUAAAGCAGUGACCCACACAUUCACUGCAGUUCCAAGCAUUUUGCCAGUAAAGAUAUUACAUAUGCAAGCUGUUAUAUCAAAAUAUCCACAGUUGCAGAAGCUGCCAGCAAGACCACAGGGCAUGUUUAUGCAUUUGAGGCAUAUGACUUGCCAACUAAGUGUAAAUUGUAGAGAAGCAAAUUACGAUAAUGAAGUUCUUCAACUGGCCCAUUGUCUGGAUGCUGCACCCGGACUGGAGACAUUGCACUUGCAUAUGUUUUAUAUGAUAUCCAGUGGUGUCUCCAGUGCUGAGGUGGCGGGUAUGCGCCAUGAUCAUCUCAAGACGGUCUUCAUGAGCGGAUUUCGCUGUUACAAGGCUCAGAUUGAGCUGGCGUGUUGUAUCUUGGGAAAUGCUUGUGUUCUUGAGCAGCUGACGAUAGAACCAAAGGUCACAAACACAAUAUGGGCGGGUAAUUAUUAUGCGUGGAAUAAAGGCCUCAAAAGAAUUUUACCGAGGGUCUGUGAGUGGGCACAGAUCACCUCGGAGCGCUUCAGUAAGGUGAUCACCGUGUUAGGUGCGCCCCUUCACAGUGAGUAA